GAGAGAAAUAUAUUUAUCGUUUGGAAUUAUUAUAUGAUAGAAACAGAACAUCACAUUCAAGAAACAAGGAAAACAUGGAAGAAAAAAAAACACACUCAAGAAUGGAACACACAUCUUAGAAGACGAAAGACAAUGCACCGACUAACGCGGUAGCGAUGAGCUGAGGAUAUGCGGAGAAAGUGGCAGCACUUGGAGCCGGAGCCGGAGUAUGAUGAUGUGGCAUCGGAGCCAUACCAGGGGCCAUAGCCAUACCAGGGGCCAUAGCCGGACCAUGGUGGUGCCCGGCGUGCGACUCGGCAGUCAUGACCAAAACAGCCAAGACAAUGCAGACGAAGGAAAAGCGGACCAAAGAACUUGUUGCUGCCAUUUUAAUUCUUCUUCUCCUUUCGUCUUCUUAUUUGCUUCUUUCUCUGUGGGAUAUAUCAUCUAAUGGGAUUGAAUUUAUAGAGAGAGAGAGGAGAGGGUUGUAUAAACAAUGCGUAGUGGAUUUAAA
rnacentral:lncRNA from 1 species